rnacentral:rRNA from 1 species
AGUGAACGCUGGCGGUAGGCCUAACACAUGCAAGUCGAACGGCAGCACAGUAAGAGCUUGCUCUUACGGGUGGCGAGUGGCGGACGGGUGAGGAAUACAUCGGAAUCUACUUUUUCGUGGGGGAUAACGUAGGGAAACUUACGCUAAUACCGCAUACGACCUACGGGUGAAAGCAGGGGAUCUUCGGACCUUGCGCGAUUGAAUGAGCCGAUGUCGGAUUAGCUAGUUGGCGGGGUAAAGGCCCACCAAGGCGACGAUCCGUAGCUGGUCUGAGAGGAUGAUCGGCCACACUGGAACGUGGACACGGUCCAGACUCCUACGGGAGGCAGCAGUGGGGAAUAUGGGACAAUAGGCGCAAGCCUGAUCCAGCCAUACCGCGUGGGUGAAGAAGGCCUUCGGGUUGGAAAGCCCUUUUGUUGGGAAAGAAAAGCAGCAGGUUAAUACCCCGCUGUUCUGACGGUACCCAAAGAAUAAGCACCGGCUAACUUCGUG